rnacentral:rRNA from 1 species
AUGGACGCCGUCAAAGCCAUCAUCUUGGACGUAUUCUCCGCGGGCAGUGAAACAACAACUACGACAAUUGAGUGGGCCAUAUCAGAGCUGAUCAACAACCCGAUGGCCAUGCAGAAGGCGACAGCUGAGGUGCGACAAGCCUUCCACGCCCAUGGCACCGUGGCCGAGCACGGCCUAAGCGAGCUCCCGUACGUACGCUUGGUCAUUCGAGAGACGCUGUGGCUGCAUCCGCCCUUGCCAUUGUUGUUCCGCGAGUGCCAGGAACCGUGCCAAGUGCAGGGAUAUGAUGUGUCACGGGGCACACAGGUGUUGGUCAAUGCUUGGGCUCUAUGCCGCGAUGAGCGCUAUUGGCCCGACGCACCUGAGGAGUUCCGGCCAGAACGGUUCGAGGAAGAAGCAGCAAAGGCGGACUUCGGGGGUAGUGACUUCGCAUUCGUGCCAUUCGGUGCCGGCCGCAGGAUGUGCCCCGGGAUGGCGUUUGGCCUCGCCGGCGUUGAGCUCCCGCUUGCAAGCCUGCUCUUCCACUUUGACUGGGAGCUACCAGGGCCAGGCUCAGUGAAGCUCGACAUGACAGAGACGUUCGGCCUCACCGCGCGGCGGACGGACCAGCUCCCGUUGCGCCCUGUCCUUCGCAUACCUAUUCCCGGAGUUUAG